rnacentral:rRNA from 1 species
AAGGGCACCACAAGAACGCGUGGAGCAUGUGGCUUAAUUUGACUCAACGCGGGAAAUCUUACCCGGUCCGGACAUACUGAGGAUUGACAGGUUGUUGUAGUUCUCCUUUUUAGGAGUUCUACUUAAAAUAUGCUAGUCCUUUCAUGAUUGUGUGAUAGGUGGUGCAUGGCCGUUCUUAGUUCGUGGAGUGAUUUGUCUGCUUAAUUGCGUUUCAUAAAAAGGACUUAAUUUUCAUCGCUUCGUUUAGCUUGCGCUUAGCCCUGGUUAUAUGAUCGUCUGCUAUUUUGGGUUAAGAGUGUGUAGCUCUGUACUUUUUUAAAGACUAUAGCAGUCUGACUCAGCAUUUACUUGCUUCGAUGUCGACUGUUUGUUUUUUUCUGUGUGCAUUGCUCCACUCUUUUCCCUUUGUGCGAUUUGUAUCUAUUUCCAUUCAAUGGGUUUUGCGUCUAUGGUCGAGUGAUUGAUUUUAUACAAGUCCUGAAGGCAACGAACGUGACCGCACCCUCUUGUUGCAUCCUUUCACAUUACACGUGUAACCAACUUGUUUGGUUUAUCGGAUGCUAACUAGAGGGACCGCUGACAACUUUUAAAACAGAGGAAGGUUGCGGCAAUAACAGGUCUGUGAUGCCCUCAGAUGUUCCGGGCUGCACACGUGCUACAAUGAUUGUAGCAGUAAGCAUCUUUCAUUUAACACACAUAGGUGUUUGUGCUUUAUCUGAACUAUGGCUUUUUUAGCUUGUGUUCGAUAACACAUUCCCUAUUGGCAACCUACUUCGAAAGUCCAGUAGGUAACCAAUUCGAAGUAACGAUUUCCCCUUGCACAUAUCUCAUGUUUCCUUGUUUGUAGUCUUGUUGCUGCUCUGUUCAGUAUACAUUGUUUCUACCUUGGAGCAUGUGCUCCUUUAAUUCGUGGUGGGGACAGACCAUUGUUAAUUGUUGGUCUCGGUCUCAACUAGGAAUGCCUUGUACGGGUUGGUUCAACAAACCACCCGGAAUAUGUCCCUGCCCUUUGUACACACCGCCCGUC